CUGUACCAUCCUGUCGGAUAGCUUAUCAGACUGAUGUUGACUGUUGGAUCUCAUGGCAACAACAGUCGGUAGGCUGUCUGACAUUUUGGUAUCUU
rnacentral:miRNA from 1 species